rnacentral:tRNA from 1 species
GCCUCGGUAGCUCAGGUGGUAGAGCAGCGGACUGAAAAUCCGCGUGUCGGUGGUUCAAGUCCGCCCCGAGGCACCA